rnacentral:misc_RNA from 1 species
ACACCUCAACUCUCAUGGUUUGCCGUGAUGAGCUUGGACUUUGGGGGUUUUGCUGGCCUGUGGUCGGCUCCUCUCAAAUGAAUCAGCUUGCCAGUGUUUGGUGGCAUCACGGGUGUGAUAACUAUCUACGCUUGUGGUCGUCCACCGAGCAACCUUUGGCAACAGAGGUUCACUGGAGCUUAUAAACGUCUCUCCUCAGCGAAGACAGCUUUUUUGAAC